UUUAUCCAAAAGUAGAAGAAGAAAAAGCAGUAGAAGAUAACAAGAUUAAAAUUGCUAAAAUUGAGGAAAAUAUUAAAAACGCAACCAUAGUUAUUGAAACUUCUUUUAAUUUGGACUUUGCAGAGGAUAAAACCAACAUUAACGAAAUGACGCGUUUUCUUUCUGUCAGUGAUCCGAACAAACUGCUAUUGGAUGCUAAUGCGAAAUGGGAAGAAAAACUUAUGCCACGAGUCGAUGAGUUAUUGAAAAGCUGCAAUUCAUUUUCAAAGUCUCAAGUUCAAUUCUAAAAAGUUAAAAAUGUCUUUUGAAAAGGAAGUCUUUAUGCCUACAAGCCAUUAAAGGCUUGUUAAACCUUUUGAAUUAUUUUUUAAUUGAAAUUUUAUUAUUUACAUUUAUUAAGCUAUAGAAAAUACAGUUUUAGCAUACCUACAGAAAUACCUAUAUAAUAUAUGAGUUUUUCAUCCUUUUUAUAUUUUUUGAAGUCAGGAGUUUUCCAUUUCUUUCACACAGGCCUUACAUACAAAAUUUUGAUCUGAAAAUUGAAUGUGGAACUAACAGAAUAAACGGGUUAAUACUCACAAA